UCUCCGUUGGUGAACCAGCGGAGGGAUCAUUACAGAGUUGCAAAACUCCCAAACCCUUGUGAACGUUACCUAUCCCGUUGCUUCGGCGGGCGGCCCGGGCCCCGCGCCCGGCGCCCCCCGGCCCCCCGUGGGCGCCCGCCGGAGGUAAACCAAACCCUUGAAUUGCAUGGCCUCUCUGAGUCUUCUGUACUGAAUAAGUCAAAACUUUCAACAACGGAUCUCUUGGUUCUG
rnacentral:misc_RNA from 1 species